GGAGAAAAUCACAUCUUUCUGGACCCCAUGUUGUCACCUCCCCAUCUUUAAGGAAUAAAAACCUCUAAAGGACAAUAGAAAAAGGGGGUUCUUCUCCCCCCGCCCCCAGCUGUCCUGGAAGCUAUUUGCUUUUCUUUAAUAAAGACUUUGCUUGCUUGCUGCCUGUGUGUUCGCGGAGUUCAUUCUUCCACUGCCGUGAACAAGAACCCAGAUUCCAGUGUCAUCUUUCCAGUAUCAGUACCUUAGGGGACCUAGAUAACUUUGCCGUUGCAACGGAAAGUGGUGAGAAAUUCCCUAUGUUCAGGCUUUCUUCCCUCUUCGCUCUAGCCCCUCUCUCUAUAAAUCUUGUUCUACUUCUUAAAUACUCUUAGCCCACUCUGGACCACCCCCUCCUAAUACAACAUCUCCUGACCACUGUUCAGGUUUUCCUUCCUCUUCUCCUUUGACACUUCUGACCACAGCCCACCCCCACCACUCCUAAUCCCAUUGCAGCUGCUCCAGAUCCAAUUCCAGUUCCACAACCUCCAACUUAUGAUCUCUUUCAACCUGACCCCCCUCCUAUACCUGUUCCAGGAACUCGCUCAAAGCCUCGGCUCCACCCUCUACCCUGAGGAUCUCAAGGACCUACCCCAACUUCCCUAAAUUCCCUCCCCAUACCCAGUCCCAAACGACCUUAAAGCAGGAAGCUUCACAACAGGACCCUGCUCCUUUCUCUUGCUCCCCUCCUCCCUUUAAGGGAAGUAGCUGGAACAGAAGGCAUUGCCCGGGUUCAUGUCCCAUUCUCCCUUUCCAAUCUAUCUCAAAUCAAAAAGUGUCUUGGCUCCUUCUCCUCAAACCCCUCAAUGAGACCUUUUUAAUUUGGCCUUUAAGAUUUUCAAUAACUGGGAAGAACAGGCAAAGUUAGAGAGGGCCCAAUAAGAUCAGGCCAAAUACCACCUUUUAGCCACUGCCCAAUAUGGCUCCAAACUUUCUUCAGUCAACAAAGACAAGAAGCCACCUGGGCCCUGCUUCAAAUGUGGCAAAGAAGGCCACUGGGCUCACUCAUACCCAAAGCUGAGGCCCCCUCCAGGUCCAUGUCCCAGCUGUGGCAUAAAGGGACAUUGAAAUGUCGAUUGCCCAAAUCCCCCUCUAGGGAUCCAGACGUCUCCUCCUGGUCCCGAGCAGGAGUCCUCCAACCCAGCUCUGCCCAGCCUCCUCGGACUCACUGCUAAAGACUGAAGAUGGCCAGGGCCCCAGGCCCCAACUCUCAUCACCUCUGUGGAGCCCAGGGUAACUCUCACAGUGGGAGAUUACACAACUGAAAAUAGAUCACAACCCCUUUGCAAAAGGUGAUUAUGACACGCUUACUACUAUGAAUGAUGCUAAGAUGAAUAUUCUUGUAUAUGUACAUGGGAUUCUACUGAAUACAAAUCUAUGAGAAGAUUCUCCAGAUGAAGGUGCACCAGAACUCCCAACAGGACUUGGAGGUGGCCAUCAAGAGUCAGACCAACCUCGAGCUCUAUGCUUCCUACCUCUGCCUGUCCAUAUCAUACUAAUUUGACUGCAAUGAUGUAGCUUUGAAGAAUUUUGCCAAAUACUUUUUCACCAAUCUCCUGAGGAAAGGGAACAUGCUCAGAAAUUGAUGAAGCUGCAGAACCAAGGAGGUGGUGAAAUCUUCCUUCAGGAUAUUGAGAAACCAGACCAUGAUGACUGGGAAAAUGGGUUGAAUGCAAUGGAAUGUGUGCUACACUUAGAAAAAAGCAUGAAUCAGUCACUACUAGAACUGCACAAACUAGCCACUGACAAAAAUGAGCCCCCAUGUAGCCCCUAACAUUUAGAACUGAACUGAGUGGCCAUUCCAUUUAGUUCCUUCUUGAUCAAUAUAACAAAAAAACAAACAAAGAAACAAAAUCUAAGUCUGAUGAACAAAGUCCUGACCCACCACAACUUUUAUGACUGCUGUGUUAGGUCAAGUUCUUUGGAAGCACACCUUGAAAUGAGGAUUUCUAUGCAAGUUACUUGUGAAGGAAGUACUCCCCAAAGAAACUGGUAAGGACAGAGGAAGCAUGAUAGGAAAGGGAAAGAAACCAGCCAAGGUGCAAUCUCAGGCAAUGUCUCAGCCAGCAUCUGCCUGAUCCCAGCCUCAAGUGAACAAUUUCAGCCACAGUUCUGAAGGGUUUUGAAGUUAAACCACCCCUUCUUUAAAGAGGAAAUUCUUCUUUUGAGAAACAUGAGAAACAGUUCCUGGAUGGCUGCUAGACACUGGUAGUGACUGACUACUUAGUCACCAUGUGACAUAGAAUGUGAGUUUCUCAGAGUUCCCAAACCUGUCAUGGCUCAGCAGAAAUAAGCCUGACUAGUGGCUGUGGCCUAGGCUGGCAGCUAUAGCUCUGACUUGAUCCCUAGCCUGGGAACUUCCAGAUGCCACAAGUGUGGCCCUAAAAAGCAAAAAACAAACAAACAAAAAAAACAAAAACAGAGAGUGUGAGUUUCUCCUCCUAAUGGGGGAUUUCUGAAACACCAAGCAAUAAAUUCACAUGUGCCCUGGUAGCAGUCCAUCUACAAGAAGUAGUAUUAUGUAGUACUUAGUCUCGCCCCAAGUGCUCCACCUCUGGUCUGAUCCCAAUGAGUCCACCUCUGGUAUGCAUGUCUUGUGUAAUCCUCUCCCACAUGGUGUCAAGGUUGGUCAGUAUAGCUGCCAGAAUACAGCAGAAGUGAUAGAAUGUAACUUCUGAAGCCAGCUUAUAGAGACAUAAUGUUGAUGCCUUGUUUCCUCUCUUGGAUCACUAGUUCUGGGACAACUUAGCUGCCAUAUCAUGAAGACAUUCAAGCAGCCUAUGAAGAAGUCCAUAUGGCAUGCAAAUGAAGCCUCCUGCCAGCAGCUGGGGAGGAACUGAGACCCCGACCUCUGCUGUGUGAGGCAGCCACCAUGGGAGUGUGUUCUCCAGCCCCAGUCAAGCCUUCAGAUGACUGCAACCCCAAAUGACACCUUGAUUACAGCUUUAUGAGAAACUCUGAGCCAGAACCACCCAGCUAAGAUGAUCCCAGAUUCCUGAUCCUCAAAAACUAUGUAUGAUGAUACAUGUUUGUUGUUUUAAACUGCCAUGUUUUAGUGUAGUUUGCUAUGCAACUGAUAACUGAUAUACAGCAUAGUAUAUUUGAACAGGUCUUAAAUUCACACAUAAGUGUCAUGAGGAAGUUCACACUCCAAGGGGCUAUAUCCAUCACUGUGACACCCCUCCCUCAACUAAUGGGGAUUGUUCUAGAGAGUUUGAGUUUUCAGAACACUCUGUAGGUUAUGUAGGCACCAGUGGAAAUGAUAUAAUGGGCUUUAAAGUCAAUGCAGAAGGAAAUUCCUCCUAACAGGGAGAACUUGAAGCUGUGUAUCUCAUUGUCUACUUUGCUUUCAAGCCUGCUUUGUGGCUGGGGUAUGAAAACUAGGCUGGGCCAAUUAGACACACUAGAUGGGAUAUUACUCAACAACUUAUGCCAAAAAAGCAGGAAUUUAUUCUUGUGAAGGUGGUGUCAAUAGAAAUAGCUAUGAACCAUUUCCAGUGAUUGCAACAAAGUCCAGGUCUCAGAGGUUUUUUGUUUUUUUUGUGUGUUUUUUUUUUUUUUUGGUCUUUUUAGGGCUGCACACAUGGCAUAUGGAAUUUCCCAGGCUAGGGGCUGAAUCGGAGCUGUAGCUGCCGGCCUGCACCACACCCACAGCAACGCCAGAUCUGAGCCACAUCUGCAAACUACACCAAACCCGUGCAACACUGGAUUCUUAACCCACUGAGUGAGUGAGGCCAGGGGUCGAACCUGAGUCCUCAUCAAUAAUAGUCAGAUUCAUUUCUGCUGAGCCAUGAUGGGAACUCCCAGGGUCCAGUAUUGAUGGUAUCAGUGAUAACCAGUAUAAGUGGUAUCUUCAUGGCACAAGCGCCACAGAAUCAUUUUGGACAUUUUUACUAGCCUUAUUUUUAUAGCACUCUAGGAUAUUCUGUAAGCUAUCCAAUCAUUUAAUAAAUUCCUUCUAUCAAAAACUGGCCAGAAUUGAUCUCUAUUAUUUUCAAUUGAGAACUCUGAGUAUGGGACCCAAUUAAGUUUAAAAGCUUUUGUACAGCAGAGGAAACUGUCAACAAAGUGAAAAGGUAACUUACAGAACUGGAGAAAAUAUUUGCAAAUGAUAUGACCAAUAAGGGGUUAAUAUCCAAAAUAUAUACACAGCUCAUAGAAAUCAAUAUCAAAAACAACAACAACAGAUCAGAAAAAUAGGUGGAAGACCUGGAUAGACAUUUUUCCAAAGAAGACAUACAGAGAGACAAUAGGCACAUGAAAAGAUGUUCAACAUGGCUAAUCAAAGAAAUGCAAAUCAAAAUCAUAAUAUCUCACACCUAUCAGAAUAGCUAUUAUCAAAAAGAUGACAAAUAACAAAUAUCGGUAAGGAUGUAGAGAAAAGGGAUCACUUGUACACUAUUGGUGGGAAUGUAAAUUGGUGCAGCCACUGUGGAAAACAGUAUGGAGGUUUCUCAAAAAACUAAAAAUAGAACUACUAUAAGUCCACUCCCAGGUGUAUAUCAGAAGAAAACAAAGACACUGAUUUGAAAAGAUAUGUACAUUCCAACGUUCAUAGCAGCUUUUAUUUACAAUAGCCAAGAUACGGCCACAAUCUAAAUGUCCAUACAACAGAUGAAUGGAUAAAGAUGUGGUACAUGCAAUGAAAUACUAUGUAGCCAUAAAGAGAAUGAAAUUUUGCCUUUCGCAAUAAGGAUGGACUUGGAGGGUAUUAUACUUAGUGAAAUAAGCCAUACAGAGAAAGAUAAAAAGUGUAUGAUAUCAGUUAUAUGUGGAACCUAAAAAACACAAUAAACUUGUGAAUAUAACAAAAAAGAAACGGACUCACAGUUAUAAAGAACAAACUAGGAGUUCCCGUCAUUGCACAGUGGAAAGAAAUCUGACUAGGAACCAUGAGGUUGUGGAUUCGAUCCCUGGCCUCACUCAGUGGGUUAAGGAUCUAGCAUUGCCGUGAGCUGUGGUGUAGGUUGCAGAUGUGGCUUGGAUCCUGCGUUGCUGUGGCUCUGGCAUAGGCCAGCAGCUAUAGCUCCAAUUCAACCCCUAGCCUAGGAACCUCCAUAUGCCGAAAGCACAGUCAAAAAAAAAAAAAAAAAAAAAAAA
rnacentral:lncRNA from 1 species